rnacentral:rRNA from 1 species
CCUACGGGUGGCAGCAGUGAGGAAUAUUGGUCAAUGGACGAGAGCCUGAACCAGCCAAGUAGCGUGAAGGAUGACAGCCCUAUGGGUUGUAAACUUCUUUUAUAUGGGAAUAAAAUGCUCCACGUGUGGGGUUUUGUAUGUACCAUAUGAAUAAGCAUCGGCUAAUUCCGUGCCAGCAGCCGCGGUAAUACGGAGGAUCCGAGCGUUAUCCGGAUUUAUUGGGUUUAAAGGGAGCGUAGGCGGGUUCUUAAGUCAGCCGGGAAAGUUUGCGGCUCAACCGUUACAGUGCAGUUGAAACUGGGAGUCUUGAGUACGCGAGGGGUAGACGGAAUUCGUGGUGUAGCGGUGAAAUGCUUAGAUAUCACGAAGAACUCCGAUUGCGAAGGCAGCGCACUGGA